GCCUGGGUGGCUCAGUCGGUUGAGCGCCUGACCCUUGGUUUCGGCUCAGGUCAUGAUCUCACAGUUUGUGGGUUCAAGCCCCACAUUGGGCU
rnacentral:tRNA from 1 species